GGGGGGGGGGGGCGGGGGGGUGGGCGGGGGGAGGUCGGAGGGGGGGGCCCUGCUUUUGUGGGGUGCGCGCGUGGCGCCGGGGUGCGUGAGCCGUGAGUACACUGCCCUUGAGUUUGGGAUAAGUUAAGGACAAUGGGGCGAAUGCCGGCUAGAGUCUCCGCGUGCAUGGUGUGGUUUGGCAAGUUUAGGCGGUUGGGCAGGGACUACCGGCUUAUCCGCUCUUUUGUGGGGUCGCGGCUUACCAAGGCUUUGACGGUCAGCCGGCCUGGAAGGGUGACCGGCCACAUUGGGACUGAGAUACGGCCCAGACUCCUACGGGAGGCAGCAGUGGGGAAUAUUGCACAAUUGGCGGAAGCCUGAUGCAGCAACGCCGCGUGCGGGAUGACGGCCUUCGGGUUGUAAACCGCUUUCGCCUGUGACGAAGCGUGAGUGACGGUAAUGGGUAAAGAAGCACCGGCUAACUACGUG
rnacentral:rRNA from 1 species